UUGGGCAGCUGAGCUUCACGCGCAGCGAGGCUGUGCCGACCUUCCUCGAGCGUUUUGCGUGGCUUCGCUCACUACAGGAUGCGUUGCCACGGCUACAGGCAGACGUCAUCGAGGAGAUGGGGCUGGACAGCGAAGCAUUGGAGGCCCUGCUGCAGGUAGUACCAGAGGCAGAGGGCACUGCCUCCAUCUUGGACGUGAAUGGGAUAUCUCUGGUGAUGGCCCUCACAGGUUGGUGCGAAGCCAGGUUGCUGACCCGCCCGGAUAUCCGCAUGAAGGUGGCCGACGUGCACGUUCUGCAACCGCCGCGCCGCUCCUUCUGCGAACUUCU